rnacentral:rRNA from 1 species
UACGUAGGUGGCAAGCGUUUGUCCGGAAUUAUUGGGCGUAAAGCGCGCGCAGGCGGUCCUUUAAGUCUGAUGUGAAAGCCCACGGCUCAACCGUGGAGGGUCAUUGGAAACUGGGGGACUUGAGUGCAGGAGAGAAGAGUGGAAUUCCACGUGUAGCGGUGAAAUGCGUAGAGAUGUGGAGGAACACCAGUGGCGAAAGCGGCUUCCUGGACCAGCACCGACGUUCAGGCACGAAAGCGUGGGGAGCAAACAGG